AGGGUACAAAAAAAAGAUUAUUGACGAUUAAAACCUACCAGAAAUUGGGCAAAUAGAACUUGGUGCUUCAAAAACCUUUAUUUAGCAACAAAUGAAAGCAUUAAAAGACUUUUGCCAGACAUUUUAAUGGCCACUUGAUACAAAUUCCAUCAUGUACUUCCGCUAGUUGUCUUUGCCUGCCGAGCUUCUUCUCGCAUGGUUGCUUUCACAUAGAUUUCAUAGCAACAUCCGUUAAAAUGUUCAUUUUCAACUAAUUUGAAUUGCCAUUUUCGGAGGAAUUAGAAUGAUGGAGAAGCAUUGUUGGCAUCCUUGCUGCAACCACCACAAUUGUCAGAACAUCUCCAAUUCUUUUGAGUCGAGAGACAUCUUUCUUGUGUGAUCUAAACCGGCUUAGAGAAGGGUCCUCAGCUAAUAAAGCCUUUUCACGAGUCCCUGGUUCGAUGUGGAAUCCACGGCGCGAGAGUGACGAAGGAUCCACCUGGGAUUGAGAUCGGAAAUGAGAGGCAAGAGUGGUUUUGUUGAGGAAAAACGCCAUUGUUCAGGAGACGGAAUGCGAGAAGGAAGAA
rnacentral:misc_RNA from 1 species